AUUGAUUCGACACCGCUGCGUGCAGUUUUUCGUCAGCGGUUGCAAGUUGUGCUGUGUUUGUGUUUACCUGCUGCUGCAAUCCCAGAAACUACAAAUUGAAAAGAAGUCAACUACGUUUACUUGCUAAAGUUACAGCACUCGUUGUGGCUGGCAGUCCGAUAAGCUGUAAACUGGAAUUAAAAUGGAUAUCGAUAUGGCUAUCAAAUUAUCAAAGAAAUUACUUGUGUGUAGCUGACAUAAUUGAUGUGGCUCCUGCAUUUAUAAAACAACGUCGCCGCAGUACACAAGAAUGCAUAUUCUACCUAUAUGCGUAUUCUACCUUGCAUAUCCCUGCGAUACUCUACGUCAUCUGGCCAAAAUCGUAGUUCCUAUCCUUUGAAUUUUGAUGGAAAUAGACAAGAAACUGCACAUUCAGAGAUCUAUUUUAAUUCUGAGGAAAAGUUGCCUAAUCGCAUGGACUGCAUUCCAACACACUCAAGGCUCCUGGAGUAUACUUAAUUCGAUCUCUAAUUUUCAUCAUUUCUGAGUUAUGAUGGCAAACGAUAAGAAGGAAAGCAUUGUCUAAUAGAAUGAACAAAAGCCCUUAAAUUGAUCUCCAAUUUUAACAAUUUUGGUUAUUUCUGAAAAGUUAUGGUGGAAAACGGCUAAUAUCCUUUGCCUAUGGCUUUUUAUCCUUUAGCUUUGUUUGCUCAAGAUAGGAGGGGAAGAGUUUUCUAAUCCAAAAAUACUGCAACUCCUGCACUCCAAUGCGUGUGCAUGCAACACUCCAACUCUCUCAAUGUUCUGAAAGAGCCCUUAAAUCGAUAUCAAAUUGCAGUAAGUUUAGUCAUUGUUGAAAAAUUAUGGUGGAAAACGGUCUGUAUCUCGCAUUUCCAUGGCUUGAUUUUAAUUUGAUUUGCUUCAGGUAAAAAGGAAGAAAUGUACUCUAUUUCGAUACUCUAAAUGAUCCUUAAGAGCCCUUUUAUUGAUCUCCAAUUUUACUAGUUUUUGUCAUUUUUGUAAUUUUAUCAUCGGAAAUGGUCUGUACCUCGCAUUUUCCAGGUUCGAUUUUAAUUUUGUUUGCUUCUCAGGUAACAGAAAGAUUGAAUGCACACCCUCAAGGUUCCGAAAAUACCCCUACAUCUUCGAUUUCAAAAAUUUCGUUCAUUUUUGAAAAGUUAUGAUGGAAAACGGUCUGUAUUUUGCGUUUCUCAGGAUUGAUUGGAUUUCUGUUUGCUUCAGAUAAGAGAACAAGAGUGGUCUAUUCAAAAGCAGUACCGGCAUUAGGCAUGGCACGGUUGGGCGACCGCCCAGGGGCCCCGGACUUUAAGAGGCGCCGGCUCGCACUUGGCCGGUUUUUUCGUAGGGGUUUGAAUUGCAGUUAGGGGCGACGUAGAAAUCUCGCCCAGGGGCUGGUAGUGCUAAAACCGGCACUGACUGUAAUAUUGAUAGAUGUGCUUAUACUCACUUGUACUUGUUGCUGUAGGAAUUGUAGUUUUUUAUUAUAACACGCGAACGCGGUCUUACUGUAAGUUCGGAAUAAUUUUCUUAGAUGCGGAAUUUAAUUUUGUAUCUCUCUGCAUCGAAAUUUAUUGAGAGAAAAUUCCAUAACGCGAGUUAUAUUGAUAGUUGUGUGUAUACGCACUUGUACUCGUUGCGCUAGGAAUCGUAAUUUUUUUAUUAUAACACGCGAACGCGGUAUUUCUGUAAGUUCGGAAUAAUUUUGUUAGAUGCGGAAUUUAAUUCUGUAUCUCCCUGUAUCAAACUUUAUUGCCAGAAAAUUUCGUAACGCGAGUUAUAUUGUUAGUUGUGUGUAUACGCACUUGUACUCGUUGCGCUAGGAAUUGUAGUUUUUUUAUUAUAACAAGUGAGCGCGGUCUUACUGUAAGCUCGGAAUAAUUUUCUUAGAUGCAGAAUUUAAUUUUGUGUCUCUGCAUCGAAAUUUAUUGCUAGAAAAUUCCAUAACGCGAGUUAUAUUGAUUGUUGUGUGUAUACGCACUUGUACUCGUUGCGCUAGGAACUGUAGUUUUUUUUAUUAUAACACGCAAACGCGGUCUUACUGUAAGCUCGGAAUAAUUUUCUUAGAUGCGGAAUUUAAUUUUGUAUCUCUCUGCCUCGAAAUGUAUUGCGAGAAAAUUC